AGUAACGGCGAGUGAAGCGGCAACAGCUCAAAUUUGAAAUCUGGCCUCUUUGGGGUCCGAGUUGUAAUUUGUAGAGGAUGUUUCGGGUACCGCCUCGGUUUAAAUUUCUUGGAACAGAAUGUCAGAGAGGGUGAGAAUCCCGUCUUGGACCGGCGGUAGGGCCCAUGUGAAACUCCUUCGACGAGUCGAGUUGUUUGGGA
rnacentral:rRNA from 1 species